rnacentral:tRNA from 1 species
GGGGUUGUGGCUCAGUGGUAGAGCACAUGCCUAGCAUGUACGAGGCCCUGGGUUCAAUCCUCAGCACCA